GCGCAGCAGUCGCGAAACCUUUACAAUGCACGAAAGUGCGAUAAGGGGAUCCCAAGUGCCAAUACUCUGUAUUGGCUUUUGCUGAGAGUAAAAUCUCGGCGAAUAAGUGAUGGGUAAGACUGGUGCCAGCCGCCGCGGUAACACCAGCGUCACGAGUGGCGCCCACUUCUAUUGGGGUCUAAAGCGUCCGUAGCCGGGUCUCUAGUAACGUCCUCUGUAGAAA
rnacentral:rRNA from 1 species